UAGUUGUGACAACAAUAGCUAUGAAACUCCAGAAAAUAGGGCAAUGCAGACACCAAAGGAAAUGUUACAAUUCAUAGAUAGAUUAUGUUCAUCUGUUAUGACAAUCUCUCUCCACAUUGAUGCACAUUUGUUUGUACCAGUAUAACUUUCAGUUAAUUAACCGACUCGGCGCAUAUCUUCCUCGAUUUCACCUAUAGUUUAGUUCCCACAUAAGCAUGUUAAGACGGUUUAAAUUGUCAAGCUCUUCAAGGACUCGACAUGAACUUUAAUAGGUAACUGGAAGGAUCUUUACACCAACAUUUUAAAUCCAAAUUAAGCCGGCAGCAGUCAUUGAUCUUCAUAUUUUUCCAGAUACAAGGUUGUACGAUUUGAAAAGACAUAAAAUUCCUACCUACUAGAAUUAAAGAUGUAACAGAAUCACUUCUUGCAUAUCAUGUGGCCGCCGAGUGUUGAGAACUUACACCAGUAAAUGGGGAGGAAAUAGUAAAGAGUUGCUGGAACUAACAGAAGAAUUAGAAGAGAAACCGUUCAGAACUACAGAAGCAAGCUGAUCUGGUUUGAAAUGACUGCAGCCUGGAGCCUUUGUCACCGAGG
rnacentral:lncRNA from 1 species